GAUACAUGAAGAUUUUUCUUUUUUUUAGCAGAACCUGACGGAAAUGACGAAAAAAUAAUUAAAAACAGCCUCUGUUUUUGGUGAGUGGUGGCGGUGGCGGUGAAACGAUUGAUUGAACAGUUUAUUUAGGUUUGUUUGCUUGUUCGUUUGCUGCAAGACAAUAGGAUUUGAAUGAAACAAAUUUUGAAAAAUAAAAAUCUUUUCAAAUUAUCAUCAUCAUCAUCACUAUU